GUGUGUGUGUGUGUGUGUGUGUGUGUGUGUGUGUGUGUAAGAGAGUGAGUGUGAGUGUGUGUACGUGUUGUCACAGCAAUGAAAACAAUAACUAAUAUGAAGAUCAAGCUUGCGUGUAGUUCAAGCCCCUAUGAAGAAGGAACAUAGCAAGAAAUAUACAUAUCAGCCAAGAGUGGUAUUUUGUUCAGGGAAUCAGUUCAUUCCCUGGCUAGACCUUCAACCAGUGGGAGGGGGAAAUAUGCUCCUCCUCCUCCUCCUCCUCCUCCUCCUCCCCUUCCUGGCAAAAUCUAGGUAAAUGCUGAACAAACAAACCUUGCCUGAGAACCUAAUAGAAUCUGGUCACAGAGUACACAAAAACAACCCUUGCUCUCAAACGGUCUUCUGCUAGUCUAGUGGGAGAGGGAGCCAAUUACUACCAGGCAGAGUCAUGAAAGGUGCUGACUAUGCCUGAGACAGUAAUGGAGACUGGUGGGAUGAAGUGGAGAAAAGAGUCAAAAAUGAGCAUCAGCAUCCAAGGAAGAAAUUCAACUGAAAGCAUUGGACCUGGACAGAUCUAGUUGAACGUGAUGACAUCUUCUCCUUGGGAGCUGUGAGAAAACAGAACUCACUUGUUGGCAGCGGAAGAAAAAAGCCGGUGUGAUGGUGCAUGUCAGAAUGUGGGAAGCAGACACAGGAGGAUCUGCAGUUCAAGGUCAGCCUUGGCUACACAGCUGGGCUACAGAACACCCUGUCUGGAUACAAAGAAAAGAAAUUCAAAUCCAAGAGAAAAGGACUUCUCUGUUCUGAUUUAGAAAAACGCAAAGUUGUAUCUCUAGUCUGGGUCUCAUCUCUAUGCCCUUGAAGUUGCUACAGGGCUUAGAAGCAUUUAAUACCAUGGGGUAGCCGCUUUGCUGUGAGGUGUAGGGUGAGGAAAUUGCCUGUCUGAGCAGAUUUUCAAAGGAAGCUUGAAAGCAGAAAUGUUAGGCAAAUCUAAACAAUAGACACCCACUCUGAAGUCCAGCCUUAAUAGGAGGGGAGGUGCCUAAUCUUACUGCAACUUGAUAUGCCAUGCUUGGUCGAUAUCCAUGGGAGGAGGCCUGCCCUUUUCUGUAGAGAAACUGAGGAGUGGAUG